AGCUCUAACGUAGCAGGCCUUUCCUUUCCUCAGUUCUUCAAUGGCGCCUCAGAAACUGACCGAUUCGAGAACAUUCGCGGCAACGCAAUGAUGAAAUGAUGGCUGCCCUCAAACUCCAUUCCAAAGCCACGCAACUCUCCAACUUCAACCGAAGCCAAAGGGUUGAAGAAGCCAAAUUCCACUACGUCAAACCUCAAACUUCCUCCUCCCUCCAAAACCCAACCUUUGGGUCCUCUUUCCAUGCCCGAUGCUCGUCAAGGUUCUCACUCUCACACCUCCUUCCUUCAAUCACUCGUUCAAGAAAAACUAGACGAUGCCAAAAUCGAAACUUCCCUUAGCUUGGAAUCUCUGCGUUUGGAUCCCCAGAAUAUUGCACGCCUUGUUCCCUGAAAGACAGCCUAUGUGUGGUUUUUCCCUUCCACUACUGUCAAAAUGGUCGCGGCAGGUAGCAACACGGGGAAUCUAGGGUUCUGGAAUGUAGGACAAAGUGGAUCACAUUUCUGGCAUCUCGAUUCAACCACAUUGCUUGUCCAAGACAUAUUAGUUCAAUUGAAGAAUUGACUGAUCAAUACUCUUGUAUGCACAUAUACACAAGUUGUGUUCGGCUAAUGGAUGCUGAGAAGGAAAUCUUUGAUCUGGUAGUUGCUAGUAUAAUGAAAUUAUAUAUGCUCUAUCUCAACCAGCAAAUGAGGCAAACUGCCUAUAUUUUGCUGAGGGAUCUGGACCUUUGACUAUUUGGGAUAUCAAGAUUGGAAAACUUUUGUCCCACCGGGUUUUGCACAAAAGCAGGAUUAACACAAUAGAUUUCAACUGUCAAAACCCUCAUAUUGUAGCUACUAGUUCCUCUGAUGGAAAUGCCUGCACUUGGGAUUUGAGAUAUACUGAUGCAGAUAAACUCACUCCCUUGAGGAUAUUUUCCCACGAUGGAGCUUUGCAAUCUGCUUACUUCUCUUCUUCUGGGUGUAACCUGGCAACUACAAGAUGACCUUACCUCCUGGGAAAAAUAUGUUCAGGCUUCAUGUGAUUCAUGUAACCGAUAUCACCCAGUAGAAAAAGCGCGGACACCACAAUUGCUAUUUACAGUGGAGUUGACUUGGAGGAUGCUGGUGUUAUAUGUCCUAACAAUCGGAAGAGCACACCCCUUUCUACGUUAAGGUAUGGUUUCAGGGGAAGUAUCUGAAGGUUGGCUUGUUAUACUUAUACCGUUUGUUUAACUUCCCUAUCCUGUAGAAGUAUUUUCAAAUCAAAGCUUUUGAUUUAUUUAAACUCUCUAGAGCUGAUUUUUUCAUUUAAAAAAGCUUCCACUUUUUUUUAAGUAGAAAGGAAAUAUUUGAUUGGCAUAUGCUAAAACGGAUUAGUUUGUGAUGCCACUAUAAUAUAGUUGAUACCUUAUAAAUUGCUGACUAAUUACUCUGAAGAAAAACAGUUGAGUUUUGUGAGCUUGAUUUAGUGGUAGCAGAGCGAAAUGGGGUUGGGAUGAUUCAUAUCUCUUGAUUGGAAAUGUGAAAAGAGGAGUUGAUGUGGUCUCAGCAGUUCAAAGGAAGACAGUUAUGACUCUAGAGAGCCCGUACAUGUCUGUCAUUCCGUGCAGAUUGAAUACACACUCUUACGAGGUUGGGAUGUUAGUGGGAGCUACAACUGGAGGCCAGGUUUAUGCGCGGACGUUGCGCUAGGAUGUUUUUAAGAUGCAUUUUCAUCACGGUUCAUCUUUGCAACAUGGCCGAAGUGGUGCCUCUCAGUCUCCGUCCUUGAUUUCAACAACCACGUGACCAGAGUCAUGGCUGGAGGUGUCUCUGAGUCCUCGAGGGGUGUUAAGGCUUUGUUUCAUGUGAAACACCUAGAAAUAUAAUCAAUGGCGAAAGGAAUCGAUAGACACAAUGGGUGAAGGGCAAGGGCAAACAUGAGAAAUCCGAUUUCCAAAUCUAAAAAUUGAUUUUACUUUGACAAAGAAGCAACCUCAAGUAGUUUCACAUGGAAAUUAAUUUUCUCAGUGAAUUGCGUGCAACAGAAAAACCAAACAUGGUGCUUAACUAAAUUUCUCACGUUUGACACUAAAUACGCACGUCCAAAUGAAGCGAACGUGCAUCUAAACACACGCUUAAACAUACUAGUAUUUUCUGAUUCAGACCGUUUCGGGUGACAUGUGUAAUAUUAUGGAAUAUGCUAAGUACUUUAAUUUGCUAGUCAUUGACUAAACGUGAUAGUGUAUUGGGUUUCACAUUGGACUUUUCUUAAUUAUAUUGAAAUAAUAGUUAUUGGGAUCUUAGG